rnacentral:rRNA from 1 species
GACCUCGAAUCAGGUAGGAAUACCCGCUGAACUUAAGCAUAUCAAUAAGCGGAGGAAAAGAAACCAACAGGGAUUGCCCCAGUAACGGCGAGUGAAGCGGCAACAGCUCAAAUUUGAAAUCUGGCUCUCGGGCCCGAGUUGUAAUUUGUAGAGGAUGCUUUUGGUGAGGUGCCUUCCGAGUUCCCUGGAACGGGACGCCAUAGAGGGUGAGAGCCCCGUCUGGUUGGACACCGAUCCUCUGUAAAGCUCCUUCGACGAGUCGAGUAGUUUGGGAAUGCUGCUCUAAAUGGGAGGUAUAUGUCUUCUAAAGCUAAAUACCGGCCAGAGACCGAUAGCGCACAAGUAGAGUGAUCGA